rnacentral:rRNA from 1 species
AUUGAACGCUGGCGGCAUGAUUUACACAUGCAAGUCGAACGGUAACAGGCCGCAAGGUGCUGACGAGUGGCGAACGGGUGAGUAAUGCAUCGGAACGUGCCCAGUCGUGGGGGAUAACUACUCGAAAGAGUAGCUAAUACCGCAUACGAUCUAUGGAUGAAAGCGGGGGACCGUAAGGCCUCGCGCGAUUGGAGCGGCCGAUGUCAGAUUAGGUAGUUGGUGGGGUAAAGGCUCACCAAGCCAACGAUCUGUAGCUGGUCUGAGAGGACGACCAGCCACACUGGGACUGAGACACGGCCCAGACUCCUACGGGAGGCAGCAGUGGGGAAUUUUGGACAAUGGGCGCAAGCCUGAUCCAGCAAUGCCGCGUGCAGGAAGAAGGCCUUCGGGUUGUAAACUGCUUUUGUACGGAACGAAACGGCUCUGGUUAAUACCCGGGGCUAAUGACGGUACCGUAAGAAUAAGCACCGGCUAACUACGUGC